AGACACUGCUUUGGGAACUAUCUCUUGUGUUCUCCUUACUUGUUACAAGUAAUAAAAUUGUCUUGCAAAGAAAAAGAAAAAGAAAACUGUCUUCCUAGCCUGGAUAAAAUCUUUCUCUCUUCAAACUCUCUCCUCUGGCAUGUGCUUAGGCUUUUAGGAAUAAAACCCAGGAAGUCCUGUCUCAGACCUCCCAUAAGACAAGGGAGCCCAGGGUCUUCUAUCUGCUUGAAUGCAGGCAGAGAAAAUACAAAAUAUCUCAAAAUGUUAUCGUGUCACAAAUGUUGUCUUGCUUUUGGACUCUUUAGUUCCUGGGUCUGGACCAUGGUAAAUCUGAUUUCCACAACAUGACAUAGAUGCAAAGUGCUUGUGGUAGUUUGAAAUCCAGCUUACUAUAAUGUUGAUUAAGAAACAUGAGUCUCAUCUCCACACAACUGUUAGAAUGACUAUUAUCAAAAAGACGAAUGAUAAUAAGUAUUGGCAAGAGGUAGAGAAGGGGAACUCUUGCACACUUGUGGUAAGACUAUUAAUUAGUAUGGCCAUUAUGAAAAACAGUAUGAAGUUUCCUCAAAAAACUAAAAAUAGAAUUACCAUAUGAUCCAGCAAUCCCACUACUGGGUGUGUAUCCAAAUAAAAUAAAAUCAGUAUGUCAAAGAGAUAUCUGCACUCCCAUGUCCACUGCAGCAUUAUUCACAAUAGCCAAGGCAUGGAAUCCAUCUAAGUGCCCUUCAGUGGAAAAAAUGGAUAAAGUAAGUGUGGAAUAUAUACACAAUGGGACACUCUUCAGCCUUUAAAAAGAAGAAAAUCCUGUUAUUUGCACAACAUGAGUAAACCUGGUGGACAUUAUGUUAAGUGAAAUAGGCCAGGAACAGAAAGACAAAUACUACAUGAUUUCACUUAUAUGUGAAAAAAGUUGAUCUCAUAGAAGUAAAGAGUAGAAUGGUGGUUACCAGAGGCUGGAUGGGGGCAGUUGGAAUUGGGGAGAUGUUCGUCAAAGGAUAUACAAUUUCAGUUAGACAAGAGGAAUAAGUUCAAGAGACCUAUUGUACAACUUGGUGA
rnacentral:lncRNA from 10 species